rnacentral:rRNA from 1 species
GAUGAACGCUAGCUACAGGCUUAACACAUGCGAGUCGAGGGGAAACGCUGAGAGAGCUUGCUCUCUUAGGCGUCGACCGGCGCACGGGUGAGUAACGCGUAUCCAACCUACCCAUUACAGGGGGAUAACCUUGCGAAAGUAAGACUAAUACCCCAUGGCAUUUUAUGGUGGCAUCAUUAUAGGAUUAAAGAUUUAUUGGUAAUGGAUGGGGAUGCGUCUGAUUAGCUUGUUGGCGGGGUAACGGCCCACCAAGGCAACGAUCAGUAGGGGUUCUGAGAGGAAGGUCCCCCACAUUGGAACUGAGACACGGUCCAAACUCCUACGGGAGGCAGCAGUGAGGAAUAUUGGUCAAUGGGCGAGAGCUUGAACCAGCCAAGUAGCGUGCAGGAUGGCGGCCCUAUGGGUUGUAAACUGCUUUUAUAGGGGAAUAAAGUGAGCUACGUGUAGUUUAUUGCAUGUACCCUAUGAAUAAGGACCGGCUAAUUCCGUG